rnacentral:rRNA from 1 species
UACGUAGGGGGCAAGCGUUGUCCGGAUUUACUGGGCGUAAAGAGCGCGCAGGCGGUCGUUCAAGUCGCGUGUGAAAGCCCCCGGCUCAACUGGGGAGGGUCACUCGAUACUGAUCCGACUGGAAGGCAGGAGGGGGAAGCGGAAUUCCUGGUGUAGCGGUGAAAUGCGUAGAUAUCAGGAGGAACACCGGUGGCGAAGGCGGUUCUCUGGGCAUGAUCUGACGCUGAGGAGCGAAAGUGUGGGGAGCGAACAGG